GCCGGGUUGAUGGAACGGUAGACAUGGUCCCCUCAAAAGGGAUUGCUCGAAAGGGCGUGCGGGUUCGAAUCCCGCACCCGGCACCC
rnacentral:tRNA from 1 species